rnacentral:tRNA from 1 species
GCCUGGCUGGCUCAGUCAGUAGAGCAUGAGACUUUUGAUCUUGGGGUCAUGAGUUCAAGCCCCACAUUGGGUG